AAUAGAUACCCGGGUAGUCCACGCCGUAAACGAUGAGUGCUAAGUGUUAGAGGGUUUCCGCCCUUUAGUGCUGCAGCUAACGCAUUAAGCACUCCGCCUGGGGAGUACGGUCGCAAGACUGAAACUCAAAGGAAUUGACGGGGGGCCCGCACAAGCGGUGGAGCAUGUGGUUUAAUUCGAAGCAACGCGAAGAACCUUACCAGGUCUUGACAUCCUCUGACAACUCUAGAGAUAGAGCGUUCCCCUUCGGGGGACAGAGUGACAGGUGGUGCAUGGUUGUCGUCAGCUCGUGUCGUGAGAUGUUGGGUUAAGUCCCGCAACGAGCGCAACCCUUGAUCUUAGUUGCCAGCAUUUAGUUGGGCACUCUAAGGUGACUGCCGGUGACAAACCGGAGGAAGGUGGGGAUGACGUCAAAUCAUCAUGCCCCUUAUGACCUGAGCUACACACGUGCUGCAAUGGAUGGUACAAAGGGCUGCAAGACCGCGAGGUCAAGCCAAUCCCAUAAAACCAUUCUCAGUUCGGAUU
rnacentral:rRNA from 1 species